UUGUGGCUGCAUCGCAUCUAAGGGUGGUGUAGUGCUGGGGUCAGGGAGCAGAAGUGGCCGUGUCACCGAAUGGGGCUCUCACUGAUCUGGAGAGGACCCGAAAGAUUGGAGCCCCAAUAGAAUAGGUGAUGGAACAGCAGGAAAGGAUGGGAGAGCAAAAGUGAAGAGAUGGGGAAGACCACACACUGAACAGCCUGCCCUUCCUACCCAGGCUGAAGCCCUGGCCGGUUACAGAUGACAUCACCCCUCCCCUCCUCUGGCCCCCCAUCCUCUGCUUCAUCUGUACCAAGAAAGCAUGAUAUACCCACGCGCAGCACCCUGAGGAAGGAACCACUGUCUGCUCCCUCGGCCUUCCCACCCACUCGUCCGGCGGCUGCACCUGGACAGUUCAUGACCCGCGUGGGGAGCAGCCGAUGGGCUGUGAGGAACUGGAAUCCGCGUUUCACCACACUUACCGCGCUCUACGCCGCUCCGCGCCAGUGCUAGCCGCAGACUCAAAGCCAUGCUGAGCGCAGUCCAGAACAGCAUCGCGCCUGGAGUGGCGGGCUCUUGACCGACCACAGCUGGCAGCUGACUUGCCCUCCUACGGCUGAGAUAAUGUGUUGUCCAUAUUCUCCAC